GGUUUGAGGUGGAAGGCUGAGGACUGCAGGAUUCUAAAUAGUAUGGGGAUUGUGUGAGGAGUGAGGCAUUAGCUGCUUGGGCUCUUAGUCCAGCCUUGUUGGUGGCUGCUGCAGUUCCUUGGCUCACUCACUCGUAUCUUCGUGCCUCAGUUUCCCUUUGCAUAAUGAGAUACGGUGGCAGAGAAGAACGCCAGUGCCACAUCCAUGACUGAUAGCUUGAGGACAGAGGUGAACUGGAGGAUAGAAAAAGAGGAUGCCUGAGAAAUUUAUACCUACCAGGUCACAUCUUCCAAAUCCCAGGAAGUUAUCCCUGGAUUCAUUUCUGCCUUUGAUGCAAGUCUGUGGUUCUUUUCAUUACUCUUUGUGUGAUAUUGAUUGCUUUCAGGUAUAGGCUGAGUCACUGGUCUUAAAACAUUUCUUCUUGAGAAUGUCUAAAAGACUAUGGAAUCUGUUAGAUCUUAUAUACUUUUAAGUUGGCACCUGAAACUUUUCAUCGUAGAUUUAAAUAGUGGUCUCGCUGUGUUGCCCAGCCUGGUCUUGAACUCCUGGACUCAAGUGAU
rnacentral:sRNA from 1 species